GUCGCUGUGCCAGAGUGGUUAAUGGGAUAGACUUGAACUUUCGAGCGCGUAGGUUCAAAUCCUGCCGGCGACG
rnacentral:tRNA from 1 species